AACGAACGCUGGCGGCAUGCCUAACACAUGCAAGUCGAACGAGACCUUCGGGUCUAGCGGCGCACGGGUGCGUAACGCGUGGGAACCUGCCCUUAGGUUCGGAAUAACUCCCCGAAAGGGGUGCUAAUACCGGAUAAUGUCUUCGGGCCAAAGAUUUAUCGCCUUUGGAUGGGCCCGCGUUGGAUUAGCUAGUUGGUAGGGUAAAAGCCUACCAAGGCGACGAUCCAUAGCUGGUCUGAGAGGAUGAUCAGCCACACUGGGACUGAGACACGGCCCAGACUCCUACGGGAGGCAGCAGUGGGGAAUAUUGGACAAUGGGCGAAAGCCUGAUCCAGCAAUGCCGCGUGAGUGAUGAAGGCCUUAGGGUUGUAAAGCUCUUUUACCCGGGAUGAUAAUGACAGUACCGGGAGAAUAAGCUCCGGCUAACUCCGUG
rnacentral:rRNA from 1 species